AUUGAACACUGGCGGCAGGCCUAACACAUGCAAGUCGAGCGGAUGAUGGGUGCUUGCUCCCGGAUUCAGCGGCGGACGGGUGAGUAAUGCCUAGGAAUCUGCCUGGUAGUGGGGGACAACGUUUCGAAAGGAACGCUAAUACCGCAUACGUCCUACGGGAGAAAGCAGGGGACCUUCGGGCCUUGCGCUAUCAGAUGAGCCUAGGUCGGAUUAGCUAGUUGGUGGGGUAAAGGCCUACCAAGGCGACGAUCCGUAACUGGUCUGAGAGGAUGAUCAGUCACACUGGAACUGAGACACGGUCCAGACUCCUACGGGAGGCAGCAGUGGGGAAUAUUGGACAAUGGGCGAAAGCCUGAUCCAGCCAUGCCGCGUGUGUGAAGAAGGUCUUCGGAUUGUAAAGCACUUUAAGUUGGGAGGAAGGGCAGUAAGUUAAUACCUUGCUGUUUUGACGUUACCAACAGAAUAAGCACCGGCUAACUUCGUGCCAGCCGCCGCCGUAAGAC
rnacentral:rRNA from 1 species